rnacentral:rRNA from 1 species
ACGAGAAUCGUAUGAAGGAGGAUUCGUCCAACGGAAUACGAGGACAGUGGCGGACGGGUGAGUAACGCGUGAGUAACCUGCCUUUCAGAGGGGGACAACAGUUGGAAACGACUGCUAAUACCGCAUAAUGCAGCGAGGUCGCAUGACCUUGCUGUCAAAGAUUUAUCGCUGAAAGAUGGACUCGCGUCUGAUUAGCUAGUUGGUGAGGUAAAGGCUCACCAAGGCGACGAUCAGUAGCCGGACUGAGAGGUUGACCGGCCACAUUGGGACUGAGAUACGGCCCAGACUCCUACGGGAGGCAGCAGUGGGGAAUAUUGGGCAAUGGGCGCAAGCCUGACCCAGCAACGCCGCGUGAAGGAAGAAGGCUUUCGGGUUGUAAACUUCUUUUGUCAGGGAAGAGUAGAAGACUGUACCUGGCGAAUAAGCCACGGCUAACUACGUGCCAGCAGCCGCGGUAAUACGUAGGUGGCAAGCGUUGUCCGGAUUUACUGGGUGUAAAGGGCGUGUAGCCGGGAAGGCAAGUCAGAUGUGAAAUCUGGAGGCUCAACCUCCAAACUGCAUUUGAAACUGUUUUUCUUGAGUAUCGGAGAGGCAAUCGGAAUUCCUAGUGUAGCGGUGAAAUGCGUAGAUAUUAGGAGGAACACCAGUGGCGAAGGCGGAUUGCUGGACGACAACUGACGGUGAGGCGCGAAAGCGUGGGGAGCA